rfam:Triticum aestivum genome assembly, contig: Triticum_aestivum_CS42_TGACv1_scaffold_049568_1BS
CAACUACUCCCUCUAUCCCAAAUUUCUUGUCUUAGAUUUGUCUAGAUACGGAUGUAUUGAUACAUCCGUAUCUAUACAAAUAUAAGACAAGAAUUUUGGGAUGGAGGGGGUACUUU